CACAUAUCUAAUGUAUUAAGCGAUUAUUUCUACACAGGAGAAUAGUUACCAUAUUCAGGAUCGAAAAAAACUCUGUUUCUAUUCGCCUAGUUCCCGAUUCAUGAAUAUUCCAAUUGCGACUGCCAUCUAGCAACAAACCGCAGAAUCUACUUUAUCGCUACAAAUGAUCGCCGAUAACACAAAUACCAACGCUUUCUACAUGACUAAUAAAAAAUAUACAUUUUAAAAUAAAUAAAUACAUAAAAUCGA